rnacentral:sRNA from 1 species
AUAUCCAUUGACAAAUUUCUCAAAAAAUACUCUCUACUACUUAAUCCGUAGGUGAGGAAUGCGCGAUCCCAUCGCGCUCCUCCUCCGGAUCGCGACCCGCAGUUAGCGAGAAAAUAACGGCGCCCCCCAAUCCCCGGUUGUUGCGUCCCCUUCCUCCGCAUCCAACCUCGCGCCGCCCCCACAUCGCCGCGCCCCAUCCUCCUCGCCGCACCAUGCCUCCACUGCCGGCGCCCCCUUCCUCCGCAUUCAACCUCGCGCGCUCCCCAUCUCGUGCGCACUCCCAGAGAUUAAAGGAGUGUAGGAGGAUCUGAUAAAAAGUGGAGCUAUUUUCAUUGCGACGAAGUUGGUCAGCUCCAAUUAUUUAUCUUUCUAUAUCUCUCUAUUUUUUUUACAAAGUUAGGAAGGAGAAGGAUGCACUGCAGUAUCAGUUAUCGUAUGAUGUAACUCUCUGUUUGUACUGCUAUGCUUAUUUAGUACUUCCUCCGUUUCACGAUGCAAGGCUUUCUAGCAUUGCUUAUAUUCAUUUAGAUGAUAAUGAAUCUAAACAUAUAAAUGUGUUAUAUUAACAUCUGGGCAAUGUUAGAAAGUCUUAUAUUAUGAAACGGAGGGAGUAGUAACAUUUAUCAGAUAUCGUCUCUAUUUAGUUCUGCCUUCUCAAUCUAAAAUAAUAAGAUACGCUAUUAAUAUCUAGGCUGAAUUUGAUC